rnacentral:lncRNA from 1 species
UCAACCCUAAAACCACCCUACUGGAAGCUCAGUGAACUUCGCACACACCCGAACGCUCCCGCAUUCCACUAAACCCCACAUUCCAAGAAGUUUCUUGCCCUCAAAGUAUCAUAUGUUCUCCUUUGACCAGACACCCCAAUUCCCAUUUCAUCUACGCUGUUUUUCCUAUUAUCCUUUAGCCACAACCAGGAUCCUCCCCCAUUACUCCAAACCAGAUAAUUUUAUUAUUCUUUUUUUAUUUUUUAUUUCUGAAAAAGAUGAAGGUGACGCCGGAAUCUGUUUCUGGGUGUUUCGGAGACGGGGUUUUUCCUCCGGGAUUCAGAUUCCACCCAACGGAUGAAGAGCUCGUGCUCUACUAUUUGAAGAGGAAGAUCUGCAGGAGCGUAAUGAGAUAGAUAGUAUUUUUUUGAAAAAUUAGUGAUUGAAAAGUUUUUUAUUUACGUGUAAUAUUAUUUUAUUAAAAAUUGUGUAAUUAAAAAUAGAAGAGUGAAAAAUUUAAUUUAAUUUAAUGAGAAAUAAGAAGGUUCAAACGGGGCUUAAUUAGAUAGGCCUCUGGAGCUCGCGAUUAUUUUGCCGGGAAGUACACCCGCAUUGUUCAUCAAUUAAUUCACACAAAAAAAUGACAACCCUAAAACCACCCUACUGGAAGCUCAGUGAACUUCGCACACAGCCGAACGCUCCCGCAUUCCACUAAACCCCACAUUCCAAGAAGUUUCUUGCCCUCAAAGUAUCAUAUGUUCUCCUUUGACCAGACACCCCAAUUCCCAUUUCAUCUACUCUGUUUUUCCUAUUAUCCUUUAGCCAAACCAGAAUCCUCCCCCAUUACUCCAAACCAGAUAAUUUUAUUAUUCUUUUUUUAUUUUUUAUUUCUGAAAAAGAUGAAGGUGACGCCGGAAUCUGGUUCUGGGUGUUUCGGAGGCGGGGUUUUUCCUCCGGGAUUCAGAUUCCACCCAACGGAUGAAGAGCUCGUGCUCUACUAUUUGAAGAGGAAGAUCUGCAGGAGACGACUCCGUCUUGAUGUCAUUGGAGAAACCGAUGUU